GGGUUGUGAGGUUAAGCGACUAAGCGUACACGGUGGAUGCCCUGGCAGUCAGAGGCGAUGAAGGACGUGCUAAUCUGCGAUAAGCGUCGGUAAGGUGAUAUGAACCGUUAUAACCGGCGAUUUCCGAAUGGGGAAACCCAGUGUGAUUCGUCACACUAUCGUUAACUGAAUACAUAGGUUAACGAAGCGAACCGGGGGAACUGAAACAUCUAAGUACCCCGAGGAAAAGAAAUCAACCGAGAUUCCCCCAGUAGCGGCGAGCGAACGGGGAGGAGCCCAGAGCCUGAAUCAGCAUGUGUGUUAGUGGAAGCGUCUGGAAAGGCGCGCGAUACAGGGUGACAGCCCCGUACACAAAAGCGCAUGUGCUGUGAGCUCGAUGAGUAGGGCGGGA
rnacentral:rRNA from 1 species